UAGGGAAUCUUCGGCAAUGGGGGCAACCCUGACCGAGCAACGCCGCGUGAGUGAAGAAGGUUUUCGGAUCGUAAAGCUCUGUUGUAAGAGAAGAACGUGUGUGAGAGUGGAAAGUUCACACAGUGACGGUAACUUACCAGAAAGGGACGGCUAACUACGUGCCAGCAGCCGCGGUAAUACGUAGGUCCCGAGCGUUGUCCGGAUUUAUUGGGCGUAAAGCGAGCGCAGGCGGUUUAAUAAGUCUGAAGUUAAAGGCAGUGGCUUAACCAUUGUUCGCUUUGGAAACUGUUAAACUUGAGUGCAGAAGGGGAGAGUGGAAUUCCAUGUGUAGCGGUGAAAUGCGUAGAUAUUUGGAGGAACACCGGUGGCGAAAGCGGCUCUCUGGUCUGUAACUGACACUGAGGCUCGAAAGCGUGGGGAGCAAACAGG
rnacentral:rRNA from 1 species